rnacentral:rRNA from 1 species
UACGCAGGGGGCAAGCGUUGUCCGGAAUCAUUGGGCGUAAAGAGCGUGUAGGCGGUUCGGUAAGUCGGCUGUGAAAGUCCAGGGCUCAACCCUGGGAUGCCGGUCGAUACUGCCGGACUAGAGUUCGGAAGAGGCGAGUGGAAUUCCCGGUGUAGCGGUGAAAUGCGCAGAUAUCGGGAGGAACACCUAUGGCGAAGGCAGCUCGCUGGGACGUUACUGACGCUGAGACGCGAAAGCGUGGGGAGCAAACAGG